rnacentral:rRNA from 1 species
AAACCAACAGGGAUUGCCUUAGUAGCGGCGAGUGAAGCGGCAAAAGCUCAAAUUUGAAAUCUGGCUCUUUCAGUGUCCGAGUUGUAAUUUGAAGAAGGUAUCUUUGGGUCUGGCGCUUGUCUAUGUUUCUUGGAACAGAACGUCACAGAGGGUGAGAAUCCCGUGCGAUGAGAUGAUCCAGACCUAUGUAAAGUUCCUUCGAAGAGUCGAGUUGUUUGGGAAUGCAGCUCUAAGUGGGUGGUAAAUUCCAUCUAAAGCUAAAUAUUGGCGAGAGACCGAUAGCGAACAAGUACAGUGAUGGAAAGAUGAAAAGAACUUUGAAAAGAGAGUGAAAAAGUACGUGAAAUUGUUGAAAGGGAAGGGCUUGAGAUCAGACUUGGUAUUUUGUAUGUUACUUCUUCGGGGGUGGCCUCUGCAGUUUAUCGGGCCAGCAUCAGUUUGGAGCGGUAGGACAAUUGCGGUGGAAUGUGGCACAGCCUCGGUUGUGUGUUAUAGCCACUGUCGAUACUGCCAGCCUAGACUGAGGACUGCGGUUUUAUUACCUAGGAUGUUGGCAUAAUGAUCUUAAGUCGCCCGUCUUGAAACACGGACCC